GACGAACGCUGGCGGCGUGCUUAACACAUGCAAGUCGAACGGAAAGGCCCUGCUUUUGUGGGGUGCUCGAGUGGCGAACGGGUGAGUAACACGUGAGUCACCUGCCCUUGACUUUGGGAUAACUUCAGGAAACUGGGGCUAAUACCGGAUAGGAGCUCCUGCUGCAUGGUGGGGGUUGGAAAGUUUCGGCGGUUGGGGAUGGACUCGCGGCUUAUCAGCUUGUUGGUGGGGUAGUGGCUUACCAAGGCGUUGACGGGUAGCCGGCCUGGGAGGGUGACCGGCCACAGUGGGACUGAGAUACGGCCCAGACUCCUGCGGGAGGCAGCAGGGGGGAAGAUUGCAAAAGGGGCGGAAGCCUGAUGCAGCAACGCCGCGGGCGGGAUGACGGCCUUCGGGUUGUAGACCGCUUUCGCCUGGGACGAAGCGGGAGGGACGGUAAUGGGUAAAGAAGCACCGGCUAACUACGUG
rnacentral:rRNA from 1 species